GACGAACGCUGGCGGCGUGCCUAAUACAUGCAAGUUGAGCGAUGAAGAUUGGUGCUUGCACCAAUUUGAAGAGCAGCGAACGGGUGAGUAACGCGUGGGGAAUCUGCCUUUGAGCGGGGGACAACAUUUGGAAACGAAUGCUAAUACCGCAUAACAACUUUAAACAUAAGUUUUAAGUUUGAAAGAUGCAAUUGCAUCACUCAAAGAUGAUCCCGCGUUGUAUUAGCUAGUUGGUGAGGUAAAGGCUCACCAAGGCGAUGAUACAUAGCCGACCUGAGAGGGUGAUCGGCCACAUUGGGACUGAGACACGGCCCAAACUCCUACGGGAGGCAGCAGUAGGGAAUCUUCGGCAAUGGACGAAAGUCUGACCGGGCAACGCCGCGUGAGUGAAGAAGGUUUUCGGAUCGUAAAACUCUGUUGGUAGAGAAGAACGUUGGUGAGAGUGGAAAGCUCAUCAAGUGACGGUAACUACCCAGAAAGGGACGGCUAACUACGUG
rnacentral:rRNA from 1 species